rnacentral:rRNA from 1 species
UACGGGGGGGGGCAAGCGUUGUUCGGAAUUACUGGGCGUAAAGGGCUCGUAGGCGGCCAACUAAGUCAGACGUGAAAUCCCUCGGCUUAACCGGGGAACUGCGUCUGAUACUGGAUGGCUUGAGUUUGGGAGAGGGAUGCGGAAUUCCAGGUGUAGCGGUGAAAUGCGUAGAUAUCUGGAGGAACACCGGUGGCGAAAGCGGCUCACUGGACCACAACUGACGCUGAUGCGCGAAAGCUAGGGGAGCAAACAGG